CCAUGGCCUCCUCAUCAUCCUCCUCCUCCUCCUUCCUGCCCUUCCUCCUCCUCCUCCUCGCCCUCCCAGGGCUGAGGGCGGCCGUGACCCUGACGGAGUCGGGCGGCGACCUCAAAGCCCCCGGGCAGUCGCUGACGCUCGUCUGCCGCGCCUCCGGCUUCACCUUCGGCGACUACGGCAUGGGAUGGGCGCGCCAGAGCCCCGGGAAGGGGCUGGAAUGGCUCGCUGGGAUCACCAAGAGUGGUGGUUCUGGCACCUUCUACGCGCCGUCGGUGCAGGGCCGGUUCAGCAUCAGCAGGGACAACGGGCAGAGCUCGGUGACGCUGCAGAUGAACAACCUCAGGGACGAGGAUUCCGCCGCCUAUUUCUGCGCCAGGGGUGCUCACGGUGGUGGUGGCGGGUGGGUUAAUGACAUCAUUGGGUGGGUCAAUGACAUCAUCAGGCGGGUCAAUGACACCAUUGGGUGGGUGAAUGACAUCAUUGGGUGGGCCAAUGACAUCAUUGGGUGGGUCAAUGAUGGCAUUGAGUGGAGGGGUGUCGAUGGCCGUGGUGGAAUCGACGUGUGGGGGACCGGCACCAUCGUCACCGUCUCGUCCGCCCAGGCCGGGCCCCCCCGGGUGUUCCCGCUGUCCCCCUGCGGCCCCCAGCCCCUUUUCUCGGUGGGCUGCCUGGCGGUGGGCGCGGUGCCGGCGGCGCCGUUGAGGUGGCGCUGGAGCGACGCCCUCAACCGGAGCUUGGGCGGGGUCGAUUCCGGGGUGGGCGUGGCCCAGGGGGUGGGCGUGGCCUCCCGAGACCCCGCCCUGCUUUUCCUGGUGGCUUCCCGGCUGGAGGCGCCGUUGGAAGAGGGGAAAUCCCGGAUGCCGUUCCGGUGUCGGGCGGAGAAUCCGGCGGGAGGAGCCGCGGCUCAAGUGACCAAUCCUGGCCCCUCCUCCUCCCCGCUGGUGCCGGUGCUCACCCUGCACCCUCCGUCCCGCGAGGACUUCCAAGGUCCCUUCCGCAACUCCACCCUGCUGUGCCAGGUCCGUGCCCCACGUCGAUCGCCCGUCCGAUGGCUCGGAACGGAGACCCCCUGGGGGCUGGAGCCGCUUCCGAGGCCGCCGGGCCCGACGGAGCCGCCGUCGUCACCAGCAGCCGCCUCGGCGUCACCGAGGCCGAGUGGGAACGGGGGGACACCUUCACCUGCCUGGCUGAGGGGGAGAGUCGGAACACCAGCAAGGGGUUGGAGUGUCAAUACGACCAGUCUGGCGUCGCCGGCGGCACCGACGUGCGGGUGGAGACGUCGCCGCCGCUCUUCGCCGACAUCUUCGAGGCCAAGGCGGCCAAGCUGACGUGCCGGGUGUCCAACCUGGCGGGGGCCGAGGGGCUGGAGGUGACGUGGUUGAAGGAGGAUGGAGAAGCCCUGGCCACCAAGGUGGGGCCUCCGGCCCUGCAGCCCAACGGGCUCUUCGGCGCCGCCGCCGUGGCCUCGGUGGGGGCCGAGGAUUGGGAGUCCGGCCAGGCCUUCACCUGCAGGGUGGCCCACCCGGACCUGCUCUUCCCCAGGGAGGUCGUGCUCAGGAAGGAGAUUGUGCCCGACGCCCAGGCGCCCACCCUGUACCUGCUGCCCCCUCCCUCGGACCAACUCCGCCUGCAGGGCUCGGCCACCCUCACCUGCCUGGCCCUCUCCUUCAACCCCCCCGACCUCCUGCUCCGCUGGCUCCGCGACGGCGAACCCCUCCCCCCGGGCGCCGCCCUCACCUUCCCGCCCCGCCCCGAGCCCCGCCCGGGCCGCGCCUUCAGCCUGCUCAGCGCCCUCACCGUGCCCGCCGCCGACUGGCACCGCGGCGCCGCCUUCACCUGCCUGGUGGGCCACGAGCGGCUCCCGCUGCGCCUGGCCCAGAGGACCCUGGACAGGAGCUCGGGUAAAGCCGCGCCCGUGGACGAGAGCGAGGACCUUCAGGACCUCUGGGCCACGGCCUCGACCUUCAUCGUCCUCUUCAUCCUCAGCCUCUUCUACGGCGCCACCGUCACCCUCAUCAAGGUAAAAUGA